rnacentral:lncRNA from 1 species
CUUAGAGAAAUAUGGCAAAUCAACCACCCACUCCCCCAGGAAUGCAGGCCAACCCAGUACUUAGCCAUCAGCCAUUUUUUUUUUGGUAUUCUUCACUUGAAUGCUGUUUAUUUUUUUCUACUUCCAAUGAACAAGAGGAAGACUUCUUUUCAAAAGGAUGCUCAAGAAGUUGCUGGGCUCUCAGGGAUAAACCUGAAGCUAGGACCAGGAGAGCUCCUUCAAGUAAAGAUAAAGAAGGUGAUAUCCAGGAAGAUGUAAGUAACAGAAGUUGGAUUUGAAGAUCAUAAAUUUGUUGGGGGAAAAUGCUUUAUACUGUUCCUUAGUUUUCUCCUUUGUUUAAAAGUGAUCAGGACUGAGUCUAGGCCAAACUCUGAAGGAUACAAAGAUUGGCUUUAGUGUCUCCCCAGUGCUGUUUUUGGUGUCACUGCCCAGAAUGCCCUACUACCUCCUAAGGUGCUCUCACCAAUGGCCUGUGAGACAAAAUAACACUCCACCAAAACUAUCUCCUUUUUUUUUUUAAGCCCUUGCCUUCUGUCUUUAAAUCGACAUUAAAUAUCAGUUUCAAGCAGAAGAGAGGCAAGGCCUAGGCAACUGGAAUUAAAUGACUUGCCCAGGGUCACACAGCUAGGAAGUGUCUAAGAUCACAUUUGAACCGAGGACCUCCCUUCUUUCUUUCUAGUUAAAUCUCAUUGAUCCUGUUCCUGAGCCCUAAUCUUCACUGGAAAACAAUGAGUACCAAAUAAGCAAUGAUAGAAAUUCCAUCCAUUUAACUUUAUACCUUCAGUCAAUUAAAAUUUUUUUAUAAA